UGUUAAAUAUUUUUUAUCUUUAAUUCCAGGAGACGAUGUACCCAUCAAUAAAAAAGUCUUGGAAAUGACUAAGUGCCAUUACAAAAUUAAUCCAGAUGACUACAUCAUAUUUUAAGACAGCUUAAGAGGAACCGGACUGAUUUAACUUAUGUCAAAAUACUUGGCUUGAUACUCAUUUGUAGAAACUGUAAUAUAUAUUCUCCACAACAA
rnacentral:lncRNA from 1 species